AAGGAGAAAGACCAGACUAAGUAGACAACCCUUGAAACGAAGAAAGCGCAAUUUCCUGUUUAGUUUUGAGAGCUCCGCUCUCAUUUUUAGACGAUGGUUCUUUGAAAACCGAAUAACAGAAAAGACAUAGUCUUUCUGGAUAGUGAAAGAAAAAAAACAAAAGAUUUUCACAAAUCGAGAAAAAAACAGUGUUAAAACAGUAAUCAAUCGCAAAUUGAAAAACAAGCAGUG
rnacentral:misc_RNA from 1 species